rnacentral:lncRNA from 1 species
UGCUCUCAGAAGCCACGACAACACGAUUGCCGCCGGAUCGCCUCUGAUCGGGGAGGAGGAGCAAGGACAAGAAUGGAGGAGAUUGCAAACGGUGGUCUCUGAUUCUUUGAUUAAAUUUGUCCAGUUUACUAGCGUUUUACUGUGGAUUAUUAUUCUUUUUGUUGGGGGAGGGGAUAGCAAUGUCACAGACAGAAGAAGUUGGUGCUUUAAUAAUCGUGGUUUAUAGGUGUAAUUUUUUGUCUAGCUGAUGUAAGUGUAUGUGCUUGUGUCUCUGUUGUAUAGACAGCGAGUGAGUAAGUGGUGAACAUUGGGUCUUGAUGUUGUCCUGACGAUGAGAUGGUGGUGUUAGGAUCAGUGGUGUUUUCUAUGAUGAUCAUCAAAUAUGGCAAUGCGGCAAGCGUUCGCUGUCUAAAUUGUACGUACGAUGUUGUACGAGAUUGAAUGAAAAUGAUGAACAAUGGUUACAAGCUUACAGUUGUUUUGGUUGGCGUGGUCUAUAAGCAUGUGUUGUGUUGAUUGCAUUUCGUGAUCUUAUGUGUGAGAGAUCAUGGGAUCGACCUUUUGCUGUGGGGCGUUCACGUUGUACUUGGCUUCUACGCGAUGGCCCUCUGAGCAAUCAUAAUGCAUGCAUCUGCAGAUCUCAAGCCUGACUAGGAAACCUGAUUUGUGAUUACUUAUUGCCAGUUGCAAUUGCUUGGCUUACAGAUCUGUGCUUACCACUUAUGGCAGAGUGAUUCCGGCAAUAAGAAAGUGGUCUUCUUGAAGUGAAUUCUGCAUCAUUUUUAUUGAUUUUCUUUUUGACACCACAUUAGCUAAACGCUAAUGGGUCAGUCGAUUUUGAGAUUCCCAGAAAUUCACCGGAGGAAGGAGAAGGAAGGUGCUCACUGGAGGGCUACCUCAGUAUCUAUCUUAGGGUUUAGGGUGGGGGCGGUGGUCGACGACGGUGGUGUGGGGCUUCGUCGAAGAAAAAACUCGACGUGGGGGGCUAGAGGGAUGGCCGGGGGCGGUGGAAGACCGGUGGUGGGGGUGGUUCCGAGGAGGGCCGGGUGGCGAGGCCCAUGCCGCCGACCGUGGGCGGCGGUGAACCGGUGGCACGUUUGGCGGGUGGAAGAAGACAUAUGGAGGUAGAAGAAGCAAUCUGCAGUGUUUAUUUUCCAUCCAACGGCUGAAAAGCAUCGACUGACCCAAAUUUGUUUUUCAAACGACAGACGUCUGGCCAUUCCGUUUUGACCCCGCAUUCCCAUUGAUUUCAUUUUGCUCUGUUCGGCUGUUCCCCUGUUUCUUCUUGUCCUGAUCAACUGGCCAAGCUGUUUUGGUUCGAACGGCUUUCAACUCGUGUCCGCACCUAUCCAUUUGCCCCCAUUGAUUCUAUUUUGAUAACUGUCUCCUAAAAAACACGGAUUUUGCUGGGAAUCUGCUCCGAGUUGCUCAUUUACAGCUCGAGGUUCAGAUAAGCUUCGCGUAGGAUGGCUGUGCUAGAUGCCCCGAGAAGACGGCAGCGUAAGUGUACAUUAUGCUAAUUGAAACUGUCGCCUCUACGCCUCCAUUUAAUCAACCUUUCUCCGAACCACGGACGGGGUGACGUUGAAGAUGACAAGGGAGUGGCCGUACGUGAUUUAAGCCCUUGGAGCGUACGCCGUUCCGUAGCAGCACGUACAGGAACACAGGCAAAGGCAUCAAAAUCCUCGGCGAUCUCCGGCGGGUGUACACGGCCCUCGCAAAUGUACAGCUCUACGUUGGCGCGAGAACAGUCUCGUGGAUCUGCACGAAAACUGAAAAUAUACGUCGCAGGAUCGGCGCGUACGCGUCAGGGCCGUGAGCCCGUGAGGGGCCGUGCGCCGGCCGCAUUGCCUUCUCGGCGGCGUCGGCAUUGAAGACGGCGCAGAUCGCACCGCCCGUACGGGAGACGUGGUACUGGGAGAGAUGGUGUGUGUGCAACUGGUACCGCGCGAGAUGCGGACGGGACGAGCUAGCGUGACGGGCAUUUACUUACAGUACCCCAUAUGCGUUCUAGUCUCGCCUUUUCCUCUUCUUUUCGUGUGGUCGAGAUGUUUUUAUGCUACGACAACGUGACUGCGCCUUUGCCAAAUGUACCGUCAGUCUCGAUCGAAACUGGAGUAUUUGUUUAGAAUUUUUUUUGAGUAACGAAUAUUUGUUUAGAUAGAAGCUGGCUAAAGUAAACUGUGAUAACAACUCCUGGGUUAACUACUCGAACUUCGCUCAUCGGAGACGAACGCCGUGGGGGCCGUCCGCCGGCCCGCUAGGCCACCGCCGACGUGAACAAAGUGUACAGGGAUGGUGGUUCAGUCGGUGCGUGGUCCCACGUGACAGUGAAACGAGGCACCAAAGGCUUUUUGCUUCGUAGGCACCUGCUGUGCUGCUGGCUGCUGAAGCUGAGCAAAGCAGUGUUCGUGAUCCCGCGCUGCUGCCUUUGUGACCUCUGCCUGAGCUGGUUCCUUUUUCCUUCGUCAUGUCAUGUGUUGGGGCCUCGGGGCGAGCUCUGGGAGCGUGACGCCGACGGCCGGCCGGUCUCUUUCCGUUCAGGUUCGUCUUUGACUGCUCGGCCCGGCCCCUUUUUGGCAUGGAGGGUGGAAUGGAUCGAGAGAAUUUCAGCGUCGUGCCGCAGCUGUCGCCAGAGGAAAAAGCAAAGGUUUGUCGUGGAAGAAGAAGAAGAUCAGGUCGCUUUCUCGUUCUCAUUUUUGUUGUUGUGUAUGAACUCUCGCUCUCAAUCUCACUUUGUAUGUUCUCAUUUUUUUUUCCCGCAAAAAAAAAAAGUAUUUGCAAGGUUGUGUCGCCGCUGAAAGCAAGUCGGCCGAAGGGAUUCAAAUCGAAACUUGGAUCUGAGUAACACUCCGUUGCCAACAGCUAUUGAGCAAAGUAAAAUAAAAUGAGAGAGAAAAAUACUGGGUACAUCAAAUUUUUUUUGUGAAGGGGUACAUCAUUUUUUUAAAGUACUAUAUAAUACUAGAGAAUACCCCACACGUUGUUGCGGGAAAUGGUUGAUAAAAGCAACUCCAACAGGGCGACCGAAACGGACGCGCGCUUUGUCCGCUUUUUGUCCGUUUGGGUCGGCCAGGCGGACGUGCGCGUCCGCAUUUUAAAAUGGGUCGGCUUGACCACCCAACCGGAAGGCCGACCCAAAUGUGUCGGCGUGGAAAAAAAAUAACAAGUUGCACGAAAUAAACAUAAAAACGCCGGCCAAAGUCCACCUAAAUCUAAUAAACAUUAAAUAAAACAUUAAAAAAGUCUGCGCCUGCCUGCUGCCGCCCCGCACGCUGCCCUAGACGUCGUCGGCCUUGCCCUUGCCCUUGCCGUCGACGUUGGCGUCGUCGGUGAGGUCGAUGAAGACCGGAGCAGGGCCAGCCCACCCGAACACCGCCUGGUACACUGCCAGGGCAGCCUCCUCCGGCGUCUGCUGGGGUGGCGGCAUUGCGGCCAGCCGUGCGCGCUCCUCCUCUUCCUCCUCGAGCCGGAGCGCCUCCGCGUCACGUUGGAGCAUGGCCUCGUAGCGCAUCCGCGCCUCGCCGUCGGCCUGCUACUGGCGGAGCCAGUGCUCCUUCCAGCGCUUGAGGUGGGCCGCCUCCUGCUCUGGCGUCGCAGCGAAGUGGACGGGAGGCACGCUCACCCACUCGCGGUACAGGCCCGUCCACGAGUAGGCCUCCUCAGGCCAAGUGGGUGGAGGCGGGUGUAAGUGCAUCUAGUGCCACCCCUAGUUGGUUUUGGAGUAUUGACGACAAACUUGGUAAUGUGUUUGUGAGAAUUGCAGAAUAAUACAGGUAGUAGUCCCUCAUUGAUUCAGUUUUCCUACCAGAGAUGACCCCUAAAAAUGUGUGAAGACAUUGAAGACAAUGCUGGUCUGUGAAGAUAUUCACAACGAAGAUUAUGACUCGAGAAGACAUUCACGUGAAGACUAUGGAGUGCGAAGACAUAGUUGUUUCGUAGUUUUCUUUUCUUCUUUGUUGAGUCAUAGGAACCAUCGCACUGUUAAGUGGGGUCCAAGUGAACAAAGUCAGAGUGACUGAAGUGAUGCUCAACCAAAUUCUAUGUCUUCGAGCGAAGACAAUGAGAGCAAAUCUUAUCCAGAGCUAGAUGAGUCAGCUUUACUUGUAGCCCAAGUCAAGCUACCGCGUGUGUUUGAAAUCUGACCGUUGGACAUGUGUCAGUUCCUUACUGACCCCGGGUCAUUUCGGACAAAUCAGGUUGGGUUGCCUCCUGGCUAUAAAUAUCCCACCCCCUACACCAUGGUGGCUGCUCAGUGUUAGUGCACGGCUUUUGUCGUUUGAGAGCAACCCACCUCCGAAGCAUUUGAGAGAGAGAUCCUUGCGAGGACAAAGCCCAAAACACCCAGAGCCAAAGAGUGUUAGGCAUCACUGAAGUCUUUCUGUCCGCGUGACCUGAAGACUUGUUACACUUGAGGACUGUGAAUCCUUCAGCCGGUUAGGUGUCGCGUUCUGAGCAUCCAAGAGUCAUUAUGGAUUGUCGGUGAACGAAGUCUGUGAAGGUUUGGAAGUCUACCUUGAAGACUUACCAGAGUGAUUGGGCGAGGACUAAUUGUCCUUAGCUCAAGGGGAAUAAGGUGAAGACGCGGUCUUCUGAGUUGAAUCUCAGCCUCCCUAACCAGACGGACAGUUGUCACAGCAACUGGAACUGGUCCAACACAUACUUGUCCUCUCCAAGCAACUGGUUCUAUCUCCUCCCUCUCUUUACUUACAGUUUGUCUUCAUGAAGUCAUUGCCUGCUUGCAUGAUCUGAUCGACUUCGGUGUGUGAAGACUGUUGUUGUUUGGCUUCAUACUAUCUUCCAUCCCGAUCCUUACUACCUAGCUGCUAAUAGUCCUCGUGCUUUCACUUCAUUGCUUACUUGACUAUGGCUUGUCUAGUGUAGUCUACUUUCCGCUGUAUAUCAAUAGGUUCAUUUCUAUUGUUUGUCUUCAAAGCCCCCGUGUUUUGAAGACUUUCAUAAAAAUCGCCUAUUCACCCCCCUCUCUAGUCGACAACUAGCACUUUUAAUUGGUAUCAGAGCAAAGUGCUUCCUUAUUCUUUGUGAUUCGGUUUAACCACUUGGAGUUUUAGCUAUGUCGACUACAGGGAUAAUCAAAGUCUCUGCUGCGUGCCCUGUCUUCGAUGGCACUGAUUAUCCCUACUGGAAGAAUAAGAUGCGUAUGCAUCUUGAAGCCAUUGAUGUCGAUCUCUGGUAUGUCGUCAAGAACGGUGUUCCCAAGGCCAGUGAAGGUGUCACCCCUGCUGAUGUCAAGAGGUUCAUUCAACUGGAUUCUACUGCCAAGAACAUCAUCUGUGGUCAUCUGACCAAAGGACAGUAUGUUCGUGUGAGUGCUCUGGAAACUGCGAAGCUAGUCUGGGACUGGCUCUCCAAGGUCAAUGAAGGCGUCUCAACCCAGAGAGACUCAAGUAUCAGUGUUCUUCGCAACCUCUUCAACCGCUUCAAGAGAAAUGACAAUGAGAAUGUCCAGCUCACAUUUGAUCGCCUCACUGAUAUCACAAAUGAGCUUCAUGCUCUCGGCGCUACUGAGAUCACCAAGCAUGAAAUCGUCAAGACACUCCUGAGAUCACUUGACAGCUCGUUUGACACCCUUGCCCUGAUGAUUCAAGAACACCCGGACUUCAAGACUCUCGAUCCGUCUGACAUACUUGAGAGGCUCAACACACAUGAGUUCCAGUUAUCUGAGAAAAGAGAUAUCUAUGGUCCCAGCUAUGGCCUUACUCGCGCUUUGAAGGCAAAGGUUGUUUCCUCAUCUGAAGAAUCUGACUGCAGUUCUGGGGAUCCUGAAGACAUUGGAAAGGAGCUUGCUAUGCUUGUGAAGAAGUUCCAGAAAUUCACCAAAAAAAGGCUUCAGAAAGUCUUCAAGAUCCAGCUCGAGAAAUGAUGAAGCUUCUACUCAUGACCACAAGAAGAGAACAUGCCACAAGUGCAAGAAACCUGGUCACUAAAUCUCUGAGUGUCCAUAGUGGGACAAUGAGAACAAGAAGAAGAAGAAAAGCAAGGAAUAUGAUUCUGAUGACAAGAAGAAGAAGAAAUCCUCAAAGUCUUCUUCCAAGUCUUCGUCCAAGUCUUCGUCAUACAAGAAGAGCUCAUCUGGCAAGGCUCGUGCUUUUGUUGGCAAGGAGAUGGAUUCAGAGGAGGAGUCUGCUUCUGAGGAGGCAGAGGUGGAGUCUGAGGAGGAGUCCGACUCUGGCGUUGCAAGUCUGGCUCUAGCUACAGCCUACGUUGCCAAGUCCAUCUUCAACACUGAAGACAAUGGCUCCGUCACCAACGCUGAUGCUAAUGACAAGGACGACUCUGCCCCCACCUACUGCUUCAUGGCACGCGGUGCCAAGCUAAACUCACGCGAUGCCUACUUUCAAACAUCAAGUGAAGAUGACUCUGAUUGUGAAUCCAAACCUAGUUACAAAACACUUACUAAAAUUGCAACUGAACAACAGAAAGCUAUGGAACAUAUUCAAAAAUUGCUAGACAAAUGCGAUGACCUGUUGGACGCGGAAAUGACCCUAUCUCAGUCCUUAAUUGAAGAUAUCAAAAAUCUUCAUGUUAAGUACGAGGAACUUGAAAGUCGUCAUGAAAUGCUCUCAACAACUCAUGAAAAGCUUUCCUACGAUUAUCUUCAAAGGAAGCAAAAACUUGAGAAAUUGAGAGCGGCUCAUGAAUAUCUUCAAAAGGAGAACGAGUCACUUCGCGCUCAACAGAUCAGUCCCGCUCAGGAAGGAUUUGAACAACCAUGUCUAAAAUGCCUUGAGCGUGAUAAUGCUACCUCUGUUGCUGAAUGUUCUACUGCUGCUACUGUUGCAAUAUCUUCAACUACUGAUGUGGUAACUAACCCCUCUACUGAGGAUACCACUACUAUUGCUGAUGAGAAUGCCAGGUUGAAGACAUUGCUUGAGACAGGAAUGUACAAAAGUCUCAAAGGGCAUCAGACACUAUGCGAUGUCCUCAAAAAGCAGAUUCUGAACCGAAACCCUAGGAAAGAGGGUGUUGGGUUCGAGAGGAAAAUGAAUGUUGAUGGUUCUUACUGGAAGCCUGAGCAGUACCCCAAAACCACAUGGGUUGCUGAAAAGGGUCCUUCAGUGGAUCCAUCCACCUUAUCUGGCUUCACUUGUGCUAACCCGAUUAUCAUUGAUGAAUCCUUUGAUGCAAACUAUAAACUGUUUAAGAAUCAGACUGGUGAAGUGUUUGCCAGGUAUAUUGGUACUAACUACAGGAAUGGACCACCUUUGAAGAGGAUAUGGGUGCCCAAGAGUUGUCUUGAGAAUCUUCAGGUGAAUGUCAUCAUGACACCACCAGGGAAGAAGACAAACCCCAGACCAAAGGCUUCAUAUGGUCCAAAGGCUUCAUACAGACAGAGGACUCACCAGAGUCACCCUAACGCCAAUGUUUUGUAGGGAAAUCAUACUCAGACUUGUGAAUAUGAGCGUGUUUCUUCAAACCGCUAUGUUCACAAGACCAAGAACUAUUCUGCUUAUUCUUAUGAGUAUUAUUCACCUCCUGCAAGGCUAUUUUCUAGGGCUCCAAAGCUGAAGUUCUCAGAUGCUGCACUUAGACUCAUUGCUUCAAAGCCACCCCUAAAAAUGUGGGUGGUUAAGAAAACUUAACUCUCUUUUGCAGGGAAAGGUCUCCAGCCGGAAAUCAAAGGCGUCUGAUGCUAUUGCUGGGGACCUAAAACAUCUUGUGGGGCGCAAGAUAAAAUGCCCAAAUGGUCUUACUAUGUAUUUCGUUCAUGAGUUCCUUGAUGAUCACCUUGCUUAUCCUAACCAAGAUCUGAACUUCCAUAAUCCACUCGUUCGUCAAAUGUUUAUGCUUCACAAUACCCUUGGUGAAGCCUAUCCCCCUAACUGCACUGUAGGGCAUGACACCAAAGGCUUCAGAAUGGAUUAUGGACAGUGGAUGCACUAACCACAUGCUGGUGAUCGAAGUCUUCUGAUGGAUUCAACACUACGUCCUUCUGACAAGAGUCACAUCACAUUUGCUGACACUGGUAAAAGCAAGGUAUUGGGUCUAGGUAGAGUUGCAAUCUCAAAGGAUCAACACAUGGAUUUGAAUCCCUUGGUUUCAACUUAAUGUCUGUCUCAAUGCUUUGUGAUUUGAACAUGAUUGUGAUAUUUGGAAAAUAUCGUUGCCUUGUUCUAGUGGAAUCUGACAAAUCUCUAGUCUUUGAAGGGUAUCGGAAAGAUGAUCUGUAUAUGGUAGAUUUCUCAGCAGGACCACAGAUGGCCGUAUGUCUUCUAGCAAAAGCUUCAGAAUGCUGGCUCUGGCAUCGGAGGCUAGGGCAUGCUGGCAUGAGGAACUUGUACACACACGCGAAGAAGAAACAUGUCGUAGGCAUCGAGGGCGUCAAGUUCAAGAAGGAUCAUCUGUGUGGUGCCUGCGAAGCUGGAAAGAUGACAAGGGCCAAGCAUCCCUCGAAGACAAUCAUGACGACAUCUCAACCCUUCGAGCUGCUUCACAUGGACUUAUUUGGCCCUACUCACUACUCUACUCUUACUACCACUGCUUGCCUCUAUGGUUUCGUCAUUGUUGAUGACUAUUCAAGAUAUACAUGGGUGCAUAUAAUCCUUUACAAGAAUGAAGUGCAGGAUGUCUUCAGACGAUUUGCCAAUCAUGCCAUGACGAACUAUGGCAUCAAGAUCAAGUACAUCAGAAGUGACAAUGGCACAAAAUUCAAGAACACAUGCCUCGACACUUAUCUUGAUACAUUGGGCAUCACUCAUGAGUUCUCAGCUCCAUACACACCUCAGCAGAAUGGCAUCGUGGAGCACAAGAACAGACCACUCAUUGAGAUGGCUCGGACGAUGCUUGAUGAGUACAAGACUCCAAGGAAGUUCUGGCCUGAAGCCAUUGAUACUGCAUGCCACGUCAUCAACCGUGUUUAUCUUCACAACCUUCUAAAGAAGACAUCCUAUGAGCUCCUAACUGGUAAGAAGCCAAACGUCAGUUACUUCAGAGUAUUUGGUGCUAGGUGCUGGAUCAAGGAUCCACAUCACACUUAAAAAUUUGCACCGAAAGCACAUGAAGGUUUUAUGCUUGGUUACGUAAAGGAUUUGCACUCCUACAGAGUCUUCAACCUCUUUCACUAUAAAGUGGUUGAAACUGUGGAUGUGCGGUUCGAUGAGACUAACAGCUCGCAAAGAGAGCACCUGCCAAAUGUGCUAGAUGAAGUCCCACCUAGUGAAUCCAUCAAGCUUAUGGUACUGGAGAAAUCAUACCUUCAGAGGCACAGGCUGAAGAAGAACUUAUCAUUUAUGCGCCCAAUCAACCUGAAGACAUUGCUCAGCCUGAAGAAAAUGCUGAAGAAGAAGACAAUGGUCAGCAAGGGCAAAAUCUUCGUCCAGUUCAUCCUCGUGUUGCAAAUGAAGUACAGAUUGAGAAGAUAAUUGAUAGCAUCAAUGCACCUGGUCCACUCACUCGUUCGAGAGCAACACAACUAGCAAAUUUCUAUGGGCACUUUGCAUUUGUCUCUAUAUCUGAACCCAAGAAAGUUGUUGAAGCCUUGAUGGAACCUGAAUGGAUUCAAGCUAUGCAAGAAGAGCUUCAACAGUUCGAGCUGAACAAUGUGUGGGAAUUAGUCAAGCGCCCUGACCCUCGCAAGCACAAUAUCAUUGGCACCAAAUGGAUCUAUCGUAACAAACAAGAUGAGCAUGGUCAAGUAGUCAGAAACAAGGAUCGUCUCGUUGCUCAAGGAUACACUCAAGUUGAAGGGAUUGACUUCGAUGAAACAUUUGCUCCGGUGGCUAGGCUUGAAGCCAUUCGCAUACUGCUAGCCUAUGCCAAUCAUCACAACAUCCUUCUGUAUCAAAUGGAUGUGAAGAGUGCCUCUCUCAAUGGCAAGAUUGAAGAAGAAGUGUAUGUUGCACAACCACCUGGCUUUGAAGAUCCAAAACAUCCUGAUAUGGUAUACAAGCUCAACAAGGCACUGUAUGGCCUCAAACAAGCCCCUCGUGCUUGGUAUGACACACUCAAAGACUUCCUGAAGAGCAAAGGCUUCAAACCUGGUUCCCUGGAUCCCACUCUCUUCACAAAGACAUACGAUGGUGAACAGUUUGUGUGCCAGAUCUAUGUGGAUGACAUUAUGUUCGGCUGCACUGACAAAAGAUACAGUGAUGAGUUUGGGCACAUGAUGCAAGAGCAAUAUCAGAUGUCCAUGAUGGGUGAGCUGAAGUUCUUCCUUGGUCUUCAAAUCCAUCAGCAGAGCAACAACAUCUUCAUAUCUCAAGAGAAAUACCUCAAAGAUUGCCUGAGGAAGUUUGGAAUGCAAGACCGCAAAGGUUACACAACGCCAGUGCCAACCAAAAGUCAUCUGGGGCCCGACGACAAUGGUAAAGAGUUCGAUCAAAAGGUAUACCGCUCCAUGAUUGGUUCUUUACUCUAUUUAUGUGCAUCUAGCCCAGAUAUCAUGCUUAGCAUUUGCAUGUGUGCCCGAUUCCAAGCGACACCAAAGGAAUCACAUCACUUAGCUGUGAAGCAAAUUCUUCGAUAUUUGGCUUACACCCCAACACUAGGAUUAUGGUAUCCAAAGGGCUCAGAGUUUGAUCUAGUUGGAUUCUCAGAUGAUGAUUGUGCAAGUCCACAACCGGCACAUGUCAUUUUCUUGGACGAUCUCUUGUCUGUUGGUCUUCAAAGAAGCAGAACUGUAUGUCUCUCUCUAUUCCUGAAUCUGAAUACAUUGCUGCUGGAUCUUGCUGCGCUCAGCUACUGUGGAUGAAGCAAACUCUCAAGGACUAUGGCAUCCACCUGAAGCAAGUGCCACUUUAAUGCGACAAUGAAAGCGCCAUCAAGAUUGCCAACAACCCAGUUCAGCACUCGAAGACAAAGCACAUUGAAAUUCUUCAUCACUUUCUCAGAGAUCAUGUCAUGAAGGAAGAUAUUGAUAUCAUUCACGUCAACACUGAAGAGCAAUUGGCGGAUAUCUUCACAAAGCCCUUGGAUGAGAAAAGGUUUUGCAAGUUGCGGUGUGAGCUAAAUAUCUUAGAAUCCUCGAAUGUCCUGUGAUUGGACACACAUCCUAACGCUUAUGCAUGUUGAUGACUUAGAUGUGCAACACACGAAGUAAAGUAUAUCUUCAAUAAAUGAAGACAUACACUCUAAGUGUGAAUACAUUAACACGGAAUUUGACUUCGGAGCGCCACGAUAAUUGUGCGCCGUGUCUAGGUCUAAUACUUCCUAUAUGGUGGGUAACGCCACCACCAAAUUCUUGUUUGAAGUGUUUCAUUUGGCGUCACAUUUGCAAAGUCUUCGCAUUUGGUUUGUCUUCAACAUUGAUUUGACUUCAAGUUUAUCUUCGCAAUGUUGAUUUGGUCUUAUACUGAUAUAUAUAUACAUACAUACAUACAUAUAUUUGUGUUCUGUCCUCUACAACAUUCACUUAUAGCCAUGUCUUCAUAUUUGAAUCUUUUGAUCUAAGUGAAUGUGAUCGGACCCUAACCCCCUCUAUGCUUCUACCUCAGAUUCUAUCUAUCUAAAUCAUAUGCAUUCUAUUGAAUCUGUCAAUUGUCUUCUCUGAGUCCUUGUCAGCAGAAGACACAGAGACAAAAGUUGAAUUUGUUUUAAUGCUGCAUCCUUAUUGCCUGAAACCCGGAGAAGCCGGAACGACCACCCGACAAUCCAGGCGUGCAUGGGAACAUGGAACAACUUUCAAUGUGUUGCAUGCAUGCCACGUGUCCUUCAAAUAUGAACCGCCAGGGGCACCUGCGUAAUUACGCUGUGCUGUCCCUUUCCUUAUAUAUUCUCAACUCACCGCGGUCAUUAUCUCUUCUCCCACCUCGCCACCUCGCACAAACCCUAGUGCCUUCGCUAGCUCGCGUCGACGCCGGAGACGAAGCGCUUAGCUGCCGCGACUUCUCCGACGCCGUCCUCACGCCGGCCGCGGACCUCGUCCUCUCCGCCGCCGCCGUAGGUGUCUUCCGUCGCCAAGUUAGGGCGCGGAAGAUUGAACUGCUCGCCUCCCUCUUCGCCUCAUCUAGCAGUUCGUCAAGGGUAAUUAAAACUUACUUUUUACUGCCUUUUUGAUCCGUCAGAUCCAUCCACUUCAACCAAAAGUGGUUUCUAAACUUCCAAAUAUGGAUCUAUCUUGUUCUGCAUCUCAUAUCAUGCCAAGUAUAUUCACUUAUGCUUCACAACUAGUUAAAUUCCUCACUUGUACUUAUUCAUGGAUUCGCACAAAUCUGGAACCAACUCUCUUCAAAUAAGUGAAUGUCUUCGCACUAUGAGGUCAAUGUCUUCAAACUGAUUUAUCUUCAAAAUCUUCUAAGAAUGCACAUGACCUCUUCCCCUUCCCUCGCACCUCUAACGCUGUCACAGGUACAUGUCCAUGGGAGAAUCCCUUGGUUCUCAUAGUCUGCAUUCAUUUGCAGAGUCCUUACAGCGACACAUCAACUCUCCUGAAGCCAGUUCCUGUUUGACCAGCAGACGGAAGCCAUUCACAGUCUUGAAGCCUUUCAGCUUGAAUAUAAUGGCCACUGAGAAAUCAGCUAGAAAGGGCGGCAGGCAGCACCGUGGGGAUACAGCCAAGGACUUGCCACCAGAUCUCUUUGAAAUGUACAAGACAGAUCCCGAAGAGAAUUACAAUCAGCACAAGACUCGAAUCCAAUGGAUUCGAAGAUAUUGGGUAGAACAAUGGUUCAAGUAUCGAUUUGUGACUGCUGAAUAUGCUGAAAAGAACGCUAUCAAGCGCCCAUGGGGAGAUAUUCUAUACAAAAAUCUUCAGCCCAAGUCCAAGUCUGAAGCCAUUGCUCAAGGCUUCUACCCUUGCAUGGUCCGAGGACCACAACCAGAGAAUGCCGACCCAUCAUCACUGUUAUGGUGUCGCGACGACAAUCUUUUCAAGCGCAACUACCAGUUUGCCAAAGAUUCUGCUGUGAAGAACAAGAAAGCAUUUGGACUCGACUUCAACCCUGGUCCAUCUGCUCCAAGGGCUGAUGGCACCCGUGAUGCCAAUCCAAACGUCGUCGGCCCCUUCUAUAACCUCGAAGGCCUCAUCACUCACAUAGCAGUUCAGGGGGGCGCCAUGGAGCACUCAGCUGAUGACGCGGAUUCUGAUGAAGCGCCAGCUCCACCUAAGCCGCAAAAGCAGAAGAAAUAAAAGGCUUCAAAGCCCUCUGCCGCACCAAAAGCUUCGCGUGCGAAGCCAUUGGCAACUGCACCUCCUGAACUCAGUGUGCAAUCUGAAGAUCUUUCUCGUGUCUCCAAGAAGACAGAGAAGCCCAAGAAGAAGAAGCCAAUGAAGAUUUUUGGGCAUGAACUGACUCGAUCUGCCGUUCUGCGGAACGAAAAUGAAGCCAUUGAUCUGUCAAGCGACGAAGAUCUUGGUGAUGAUGCUCUUGAGCUACUGAUAAAGAGCAAGCAAGAGGCGGAGAUAUUCAAUGAUCUACCCCUCUUUGAUGUGGAUAUUCUAAACAACUUCAUCGAUGAGUGGUUUGACAACCUGAGCCUCAGCAUUGAUGAUCUCCAGCUGCUAGUUGACAUCAGCGUCACCUUCCAUGGAGCCAUUGCUAAUGAGCUGGCCCUGGCUCAGAAGAUCGUCGAGCUAAAGAACAAAAUUGAUUAUGAAAGGCUCAAUUCAAGAAGAACAUGGCCAAGCUCAGCGUGGCUGAUGUUCAAAGCUUCAAGCAAAUGCUGCAUGACCUCAAGGAAGAGUUUCACAAGAAACGUGAAGAAGCAAAAGGUUCAAGAGAGCGGAUGAAAUACUUUGCAGAUAAAUGUGUUCAAGCACACAAUGAGGUAGAAAAGUGCAAUGCUCUUGGGCAUCCUGGCAUUGACCCCAAGAUGGCUGCCAAACAAAAGAAGAAGCCUGCUGUGGCCCAAGCUGAAGCAUCAAGGCAGGAAGCACCUCACAUUGUCUUCCCUGCCAGCAUGACAGGCUCGAAGCCUAAGGUCCCCUCAACAGCUUCAGAACUGAAGAAGACAAGGGUAGCUGAAGCCGAAGCCAAGAAGCGCAAGCAUAGGAAUACUUCUGAUGAUGCUCCAUCAAAGAAGAAACUGAAAAAGGCUUCAAAGAAAGAGCGUGCUGCGGCCCCUGAGCCUCUUGUUGUCGAGCCCAUUUCUGUUGCUCGUCCUGCCUCCACCAACCAAGAGUGUCAACUUGUGAUCCACGAGCCUGCUUUCACAGAGGCUCCUGACAAUGAAGACGUUCCAGCUGUCGACCCCAUCACAGCUGAAGACAUUGGUCGUGAAGACAAUGUAGAUGAUGAUGAAGUCCUUCCUCAAAUCGAGCACCAACUGGUAUCAUCGCCUGUUCUUACGAACAGCGAACUCAUCAGCAUUGGUCGUCCUUUGACGCCAAUUGCUCAGGAUGAUUCGUGGGCUGAUCGCCCUCAACAAGACACCCCCAUUGAUGAUGAGACACCCAGAACUCCACCACCUCAAACCACCACUCCGGUGCUUGACGAUGACAAUUACAUGGUGCAGACCACUCCAUCACCACAGGCGUCGCCCGCCUUCCACAGGAUUCGCAAAGGCCCUAGUCCAUAGGUCACCAUGUUGAGCAUUCCAGAAGGAGAAGUGCAACAAAGCUCAGUAGCACGUCAAGUGUUUCCUGAAGCCACUCCCACUGCGAAUGUCUCUGAGUCCGAAGCAAAAGCUGCUGAAGACAUUCCGGCUGCAUCAGCCGAUUCCACGAGAAGAAGAAGAAAGAGUUGAAUCAGAGUGAUUGGGCAAGGACUAAGUGUCCUUAGCUCAAGGGUAAUAAGGUGAAGACGCGGUCUUCUGAGUUGAAUCUCAGCCUCCCUAACCAGACGUACAGUUGUCACAGCAACUGGAACUGGUCCAACCAAUACUUGUCCUCUACAAGCAACUGGUUCUAUCUCCUCCCUCUCUUUACUUAGAGUUUGUCUUCGUGAAGUCAUUGCCUGCUUGCAUGAUCUGAUUGACUUCGGUGUGUGAAGACUGUUGUUGUUUGGCUUCAUACUAUCUUCCAUCCUGAUCCUUACUACCUAGUUGCUAAUAGUCUUCGUGCUUUCACUUCAUUGCUUACUUGACGAUGGCUUGUCUAGUGUAUUCUACUUUCCUCUGCAUAUUAAUAGGUUCAUUUCUUUUGUUUGUCUUCAAAGCCCCCGUGUUUUGAAGACUUUCAUAGAAAUCGCCUAUUCACCCCCCUCUAGUCGACAACUAGCACUUUUAGCGGGGAGCGCUUACGCGUCGGCUCCAGGUCCGGCUUGGGCUGGACGGGCGGCGAUGGUGGCGGUGGCGGCACGAAGAGCGGGGUGUGGACGGAGUCCCCCGCCGCCGAUAGGGCAAGGGCUUGCUCCAGCCCAUCCCAAUGCGCGUCCUCCUCGAGGUGGCUAGCCUCCAGCGCGUGCUGCAGGGCCUCCUCGAGGGCGGCUUGGUACUCCGCCUCCGCCUCCAUGUCCUCCGGGUCUACCUACGGGGGCGGCGGUGGGAACGGCGGUGGGACGACGUCGACACCCGAGCGCCGUUGCUCCUCGUGUUCGAGGGCGAACCACGCCUCCCAGUUGGGGGAGUCGGCGGCAUACUCUGGUAGCCGACGCUGCUCCGGCAUGAGCUGCGCGCGGCGCCUGCGCACCUCAUCGUCGUGCGCCCGCUGGCUACGCGGAACCGCCGGCAUCGGGAUCCGCUGCGGAUCCAGAUGCCAAUGGUGCGGCAGCGUGACAUCAGGGUACGGCAGUGGCUGCCUGUACUCCCAGUGCCACCGUGCUUGGUGAACCAGGAUGUGCAGGCGCCGGUGACCAGGGCGGAAAACGCGGCGCCGCCGGAGGAGGAGGGGGAAGGGGAGCAUGGGAGGACGAGGCGCCGGGGUGCCCUUGCCAUUGCUACUGUCGAAGAGGCCCAUGGGUGCGCCAGGNNNNNNNNNNNNNNNNNNNNNNNNNNNNNNNNNNNNNNNNNNNNNNNNNNNNNNNNNNNNNNNNNNNNNNNNNNNNNNNNNNNNNNNNNNNNNNNNNNNNNNNNNNNNNNNNNNNNNNNNNNNNNNNNNNNNNNNNNNNNNNNNNNNNNNNNNNNNNNNNNNNNNNNNNNNNNNNNNNNNNNNNNNNNNNNNNNNNNNNNNNNNNNNNNNNNNNNNNNNNNNNNNNNNNNNNNNNNNNNNNNNNNNNNNNNNNNNNNNNNNNNNNNNNNNNNNNNNNNNNNNNNNNNNNNNNNNNNNNNNNNNNNNNNNNNNNNNNNNNNNNNNNNNNNNNNNNNNNNNNNNNNNNNNNNNNNNNNNNNNNNNNNNNNNNNNNNNNNNNNNNNNNNNNNNNNNNNNNNNNNNNNNNNNNNNNNNNNNNNNNNNNNNNNNNNNNNGACCCCGCCACACGCAUGGUUAAAAAAGGACGCUUCCACUGGCUGACGCGUGGACCCGCUGUCGGUGGUCGUCAUAAAUAAGAGGACCGGUGGCGGUUGGGUGGCCGCCAGGUGGGGACGCGGCGGACAGCGAGGAGACGCGCGGCGCGUCCGCUCCGCGUCCGCGCCGACGCAUUCCAGGCGCAAUUUUGGGCUGGAAAUGGGUCGGCGCGGACGUCAGGCGGACACGAUUUGAGUUUGGGUCGGCGCAUUGGGCCUCCACUUUUGUCCGCGCCGACCCAAACGGACGCGGGCGGACGAAAUGGGUCGCCCCAUUGGAGUUGCUCUAACAUGAGCACCAAAUUAACAAUACAUAUGACCUAUAAUGUUUGAUUACACAUAGUUUUAACAAUAUUUAUUGAAUAUAAGUAUAAUGAUUGAAUGGGAAGUAUUUUUCCAUGCAUGGUUGAAUGUUGUGGUGGUAUUUUCUCAUGCAUGAUUGCAUGUUGAGGCGAGCCUUAUUUCACUCAUAAUUGUAUGAUGAGGUGUAUACUUGCAUGUUCAGAUAAAUAAGUUAGUGAAGAUGAUUCUCUUAGGUAUAUAUAGGGUGUGUGUAAAUAUUCUAGUGUGAAAAAUGCAUUAUCAUAUGGUUAUACUCUGCACACUACAAACUGUGCUAUUUCAGUGCAAAGCUGUGUGCAAGAUUUUUUAUUUUAUUUUCUCUCUUAUUAAAGGAUAAUACCGAUGUCACUAAUUCAUUUUUUGUUAGAAAACUUUAUUUUAUAUAUUUUUUAGUUUUCUUUAUUUCCUUUCUUCUUUAAGAGUAAUAUCAAUUUCACAGAUUCAUUCUUUCCUAGAAAACUUAAAAAAACACUAUUAUAUUCUUAUUCUUGAAUAUUAUAAAAAACAUAUUUAAAUUAUGUGCAAAUUUUGUCAUUUUUUAUUUCUUUUUUCUCAAAGAGAAAUACAAAUGCCUCUGAUCCAUUCUUCAUCACAAAACAUCAUUAUUUUGAUUCUAUUUUCUUCUAUAUUUCCUUUUCUUUCUUCUUUUAAGAGUAAUUUCAGCAUCACGAAUUCAUUCCGUCUUAAAAACUUCUUUUUUUGCGUAAAUUUUACUUUUAUUUGAUUAUUCUUGCAUAUUAUGAAAAGAAUACAAUUUCUAAGUAAAUUAUGUGCAAAUAUUGUCAUUGUUUGUUUCAGUUUUCUUCAUUAGCUUUCUUCUUGAAGAGUAAUACCAAUGCCACUAAUUCAUUCUUCCUUAGAAACUUUAUUGUUUUGAUUUGUUUUAUUUUUUCUUAAAGGUAAUACCAAUGUCAGUAUUCCAUUCUUCAUUACAAAACUUCAUUAAUUUGAUUUUCUUUAGUUAUUAUUUCAUUUUUCUUUCCUUUUUAAGGGUAAUAUAAAUGUCACUGAUUCAUUCCUUCUUAGGAAAGUUACAUUUCGCAAAGAUUACACUAUUAUAUGCCUCUUCCGGCAUAUUACAAGAAGUGCAAUUUCUAUGUAUAUUAUGUGCAAAUUCAUGGGACGGUCCGGGGGAGUUCUAGGUCAUCCAAAGAGUUUGCACAAUCUGGCGUUGUAGUGUUCCAAAAGCUCCGGAGCAAGGGGGCCGAAGUUCCGAGGUCUUCAGGACCCUUCUACAUGGUGUAUUCCAACAUCUGCUGGUCCGCUUUUUCUCCUCCAACUCCUUGCUCCAUGGUGUGCCCCGUCCUCCAUGCUUCUUCAACAACAAUGCCAUUGUACCUAAGCACACAUUGAGCUGCAUUUUGAGAUAGAAGCCAUGCCUCAUCUAAAUGCAUAGAGAACUCAAAGAGGAGAGGUGUCAAAUGCAUUCAAAGAAGGGGGUCAUGGGAUAGACGAAGGAGGCAGUGGUGCAUAUAAAAGCCAAAUCAUAACAUGCACCCAACAUACCCCCACCACUCUCGUUUAUUGGUUAUGGUGAAUGGAUCACAAUUGCUAGGUUGUUGGCUUCAGUUUGCAGUUGGGCUUUCUCUUCCUCUUAGCCCUGAGCAGACCUUCAUCUCCCACAACUUCCAGGUGAGGAGUAGGGAAUGUGACAACACAAUUCCGAUUUCGUGUGAAGCGUGUCAAAUAUUGAGUAAAUGUGCACCCCUCGCAUCGUUGGUGGCAUUGAGUCGGUCAUUUACUUGUUUGCCCUCUUUUGGGAAGGUUACGUGAUUGGCGGCGGCGUCCUGACUCAGAGGUCCCUCAACACGUCGGUUCCCGCCCUGGUGGGUCGAGGCGAGGACCCCUAGGUCGGUUCUGUCCUAGGCCACAUUGGGUGGUCCAUGGAGAAUCCUACGAAGAUUCCGGAAGGCUUGCAUACAAUCAGAAGAUGCCAGAGCAAUGCAGGACUCUACCUGUUGGGGAACGUUGCAUGGAAAACAAAAAAUUUCUACGCACAUGCAAGAUCUAUCCAUGGAGAUGCAUAGCUACGAGAGGGGGGAGCAUCUUCAUACCCUUGAAGAUCGCUAAGCGGAAGUGUUUAUCAACGUGGUUGAUGUAGUCGUACACCUUCAUGAUCCGUCUUGAUCAAGUACCGAAUGUAUGACACCUCCGCGUUCAGCACACGUUCAGUUUGAUGACGUCCUCGCCUUCUCGAUCCAGCAAGAGGGGCAAAGUAGUAGAUGUGUUCUGGCAGCAUGACGGCGUGGUGAUGGUGGUGAUGAAGAACAAUCUCCGCGGGGCUUCACCAAGCACAACGAAAACUAUGACGGAGGAUAAACUAGAGGGGGCGGGGUUGCCGACACAUGGCUUGGUGAAUCUUCAUGUGUUUCGGGUGCUAGCCCUGCCCUCUAUUUGUAUGUUGAGCCCUGGGGUCGUUUCUUGGAGAAAGAGCCUCCUCAAAGUCGGUUUAGCCCGCAAGGCAAGAGUCCUUCUCGGACUCCAGGACUAGACGCCAGGGUCCCUGGCGUCUGGCCCCCUGGCCUCAGCAAAACUCCUUUUGCACCUUCCUGAAGCCUCGUGGGCUUUACCCCUUGGCCCAAAUAAAGUGUUCUCGUACCCGAACAUUUCAGGAAACAUCCGAAACCCCUUCCGGAACCCUUCCGGAGACCAAACACUAUUAUCUCAUAUAUCAAUUUUUACCUCCGAACCAUUCCGGAGCCUCUCGUCAUGUCCGUGAUCUCAUCCGGGACUCCGAACAAAAUUCGGUCACCAACAUACAUAACUCAUAUAAUACUAUAUCAUCAACGAAUGUUAAGCGUGCGGACCCUACGGGUCCGAGAAUGAUGUAGACAUGACCGGGACGCUUCUCCGGUCAAUAACCAAUAGCUGGACCUGGAUUCCCAUAUUGGUUCCUACAUAUUCCACGAAGAUCUUUAUCGGUCGAACCUUUGUGACAACAUACUGAUACGUCUCCAACGUAUCUAUAAGUUUUGAUUGUUCCAUCCUAUUAUAUUAUCCAUCUUGGAUGUUUAUAUGCAUUUAUAUGCUCUUUUAUAUGAUUUUUGGGACUAACCUAUUAACCUAGAGCCUAGUGCCAGUUUUUGUUUUUUCCUUUUUGAGUUUCGCAGAAAAGGUGAAGGAAAUAUGCCCUAGAGGCAAUAAUAAAGUUGUUAUUUAUAUUUCCUUAUAUCAUGAUAAAUGUUUAUUAUUCAUGAUAGAAUUGUAUUAACCGGAAACUUGAUACAUGUGUGAAUACAUAGACAAAACAAAGUGUCCCUAGUAUGCCUCUACUUGACUAGCUCGUUAAUCAAAUAUGGUUAAGUUUCCUGACCAUAGACAUGUAUUGUCGUUUGAUGAACGGGAUCACAUCAUUAGAGAAUGAUGUGAUGGACAAGACCCAUCCGUUAGCUUAGCAUUAUGAACGUAAGUUUUAUUGCUAUUGCUUUCUUCAUGACUUAUACAUGUUCCUCUGACUAUGAGAUUAUGCAACUCCCGAACCGGAGGAACACCUUGUGUGCUAUCAAACGUCACAACGUAACUGGGUGAUUAUAAAGAUGCUCUACAGGUGUCUCCGAAGGUGUUUGUUGAGUUGGCAUAGAUCAAGAUUGGGAUUUGUCACUCCGUGUAUCGGAGAGGUAUCUCUGGGCCCUCUCGGUAAUGCACAUCACUAUAAGCCUUGCAAGCAAUGUGACUAAUGAGUUAGUUGCGGGAUGAUGCAUUACGGAACGAGUAAAGAGACUUGCCGGUAACGAGAUUGAACUAGGUAUGAUGAUACCGACGAUCGAACCUCGGGCAAGUAACAUACCGAUGACAAAGGGAACAACGUAUGUUGUUAUGCAGUUUGACCGAUAAAGAUCUUUGAAGAAUAUGUAGGAGCCAAUAUGAGCAUCCAGGAUCCGCUAUUGGUUAUUGACCGUAGAAGUGUCUCGGUCAUGUCUGCAAAGUUCUCGAACCCGUAGGGUCUGCACGCUUAACGUUCGAUGACGAUUUGUAUUAUGAGUUAUGUGAUUUGAUGAUCGAAGCUUUUUCGGAGUCCUGGAUGAGAUCACGGACAUGACUAGGAGUCUCGAAAUGGUCGAGAGGUAAAGAUUCAUAUAUUGGAAGGUUGCAUUUGGACAUCGGAAUGGUUCCGAGUGGUUCGGGCAUUUUUCCGAAGUACCGGGAGGUUACCGGAACCCCCCGGGAGAAGUUAUGGGCCUCAUGGGCCAUAAGUGGGAAGCACACGAGCCCACAAGGGGCUGGUGUGCCCCCCCUUGGGCAGGAGGCCGAUUAGGACUAGGAGAAGGGGGCCAGUGCUACCUCUGGAGCAUUGCGUUGGUUUUCCCUUGAAGAGGAAAGGGUAAUGCAGUAAAGUAGUGUCAGUAUUUCCCCGAGUUUUUGAGAACCAAGGUAUCAAUCCAGUAGGAGACCACGCUCGAGUCCCAGGCACCUACACAAACAAACAAGAACCUCGCGACCAAUGCGAUAAAGGGGUUGUAAAUCCCUUCACGGUCACUUACGAGAGUGAGAUCUGAUAGAGAUGAUAAGAUAAUAUUUUUGGUAUUUUUAUGGUAAAGAGUAAAGGUAAAGAAAGCAAAAUAAACGGCAAAGGAAAUAGCUAGUUGACGGGAGAUUAAUAUGAUGGAAAACAGACCCGGGGGCCAUAGGUUUCACUAGUGGCUUCUCUCCAGAUAGCAUAAGUAUUAUGGCGGGUAAACAAAUUACUGUCGAGCAAUUGAUAGAAUUGAGCAUAGUUAUGAGAAUAUCUAGGUAUUAUCAUGUAUAUAGGCAUCACGUUCGUGAUAAGUAGACCGACUCCUGCCAGCAUCUACUACUAUUACUCCACACAUCGACCGCUAUCCAGCAUGCAUCUAGAGUAUUAAGUUCAUAAGAACAGAGUAACGCUCUAAGCAAGAUGACAUGAUGUAGAGGGAUAAACUCAUGUAAUAUGAUAUAAACCCCAUUUUUUUAUCCUCGAUGGCAACAAUACAAUACGUGUCGUUUCCCCUACUGUCACUGGGAUCGAGCACCGCAAGAUUGAAUCCAAAGCUAAGCACUUCUCCCACUGCAAGAAAGAUCAAUCUAGUAGGCCAAACCAAACUGAUAAUUCGAAGAGACUUGCAAAGAUAACCAAUCAUACAUAAAAGAAUUCAGAGGAGAUUCAAAUAUUGUUCAUAGAUAAUCUUGAUCAUAAACCCACAAUUCAUCGGAUCUCGACAAACACACCGCAAAAAGAAGAGUUACAUCAAAUAGAUCUCCAAGAGAAUCGAGGAGAACUUUGUAUUGAGAUCCAAAGAGAGAGAAGAAGCCAUCUAGCUAAUAACUAUGGACCCGAAGGUCUGAGGUAAACUACUCACACAUCAUCGUAGAGGCUAUGGUGUUGAUGUAGAAGCCCUCCGUGAGCAAUUCCCCCUCCGGCGGAGCGCCGGAAAAGGCCCCAAGAUGGGAUCUCAUGGGUACAGAAGGUUGCGGCGGUGGAAAUAGGGUUUUUUCUCCUUUGCUAAUGGUUUGGGGGUACGUAGGUAUAUAUAGGAGGAAGAAGUAGGUCGGUGGAGCUACGAGGGGCCCAUGAGGGUGGAGGGCACGCCCCCCUGCCUCGUGGCCUCCUCGGUGAUUUCUUGACGUCCACUCCAAGUCCUCUGGAUCACGUUUGUUCCGAAAAUCUUGUUCCCGAAGGUUUCAUUCCGUUUGGACUCCGUUUGAUAUUUUCCUUUCCUUCGAAACACUGAAAUAGGCAAAAAAAACAGCAAUUUUGGCUGGGCCUCCGGUUAAUAGGUUAGUCCCAAAAAUAAUAUAAAAGUAUAUAAUAAAGCCCAUUAAACAUCCAAAACAGAAUAUAAUAUAGCAUGGAACAAUAAAAAAUUAUAGAUACGUUGGAGACGUAUCAAGCAUCCCCAAGCUUAAUUCCUGCUCGUCCUUGAGUAGGUAAAUGAUAAAAACAGAAUUUUGAUGUGGAAUGCUACUUAGCAUAAUUUUCAAUGUAAUUCUCUUAUUUGUGGUAUGAAUAUUCAGAUCCGAAAGAUUCAAGAU